CUGCCUGACUGAAAUAAUCUCACUUUUUCCCUCUUUUUUUUUUUCCCCACACGGACUCCUGGGCUUACUGAAAUCACUUUGCAGUGUCUACUUUUGAGACAGAGGAAACUGCUUUUCCGAUUUCAGAAUUGGUUGUGGAACAUGUUGAAACUACAGAAAUUCCUGUGGAAACAAUAACCACUGCUGUGGAAACCAUCGGCACUGCUUUGAUAAAUGUGGAUGGUGACUUAUUUCUUGUGCAAACUACUGCGUAAGUUUGGAUCAUCUGCAGUAGAGAACUAAAUAUUAGUUUCUUUGCAGGUGCCGGAAACAAGAUCGUUUGUCAGCCUGGAGAUGAAGAUUCAUCAACAUAUUUAUCUUCGUGUUCAUUUGUACAUUAUAUUUUUGUUAUACUGCUCUGCAGCAGAGAACCCUCUGUGAGUGGUGUAUACUUAAGGCUCUUUAUUACAGCAAGGGCAUCUUUAAAACACGGCAUAUAGGCAAAGCCAGGCAGGAGAAAAACAGCUAUUUAUGUUAAAAAUAGGACUUAAAUUAAAAAAAAAAAAUCUAGAAUGAAGUGAUUUUUAACAGAUUGGUGUCAGCCAUCUCUGUCUCCCAGUCUUUACUUUUCCUUGAUGUGCAAGUAUCUGAAAAUAAAACACGGGAAAUAAGCUUGGAACCUUUGAAC
rnacentral:lncRNA from 1 species